CCAACACACAAAAACAGAAAGCACCAAGGGAGGGGGAUAUCUCCUCAAGCUGGCAUUUUUGCAGAUAUUCAUUUUUAUUCUUUUUUCCCCCACCCUCCCUCUUAAAAAAAAAUCCAUUAGACUAGGGAUCCAGACCAACCGGGUCCAGCCUGCAGGACCCCAGACAAUAACAUGUAGCCUCCGCGCGAAAUGCCCCUGACAGUCGCCCCUGAAAUCCCUUCUCUGGUCUUUGCACUCGAACUGAUGCAGCCUCCAAGCGCAGAAUCUGGACACUGAAUAUCCCCCCCUCCCCACCACCACCACCACCACCAUCCUUCACAAUGAACCGCCACCCCCUUAGCCACCACAAUCAACCUGCCUCUGGAAACAAUACCGCCCAAGACAUCCAGCACUUAUUGUAAGCUGGCAGAUUUGAGUUUCAAUGAAUGUACAACAUCAUUUGCCCUCUCACCUAAAAAUCAUCGUCACUUGAUGAAUUCAACAUUGCACCCAAUAACUGUGGACAUAAAUACUAACGGGAAUCGGAAAUUUUCGGGAAAAUAAGAAAAUGUGGUUAAGAGAUACGAGGGACUUCCCAAUGUCAAGAAUUGGUGGUGACCAAGGAUGGUUCUGUUAUUCUCAUUCCAAUGGCACAGUCGUGUCCGGUAACACACUGCAACAUUGAUGCAUGACUUUGUAGGCAAAUGAGAAGACGUCACUCAUGGUUUAUUAAAAAUUAAUUUGACAAUAUCAA